UACGUAGGGUGCAAGCGUUAUCCGGAUUUACUGGGUUUAAAGGGUGCGUAGGUGGGUUGGGAAGUCAGUGGUGAAAUACUUUCGCUUAACGAAGGAACUGCCAUUGAUACUAUCAAUCUUGAAUGUAGUGGAGGUAGGCGGAAUGCGUCAUGUAGCGGUGAAAUGCUUAGAUAUGACGCAGAACACCAAUUGCGAAGGCAGCUUGCUAAACUGUAACUGACGCUGAGGCACGAAAGCGUGGGUAGCAAACAGG
rnacentral:rRNA from 1 species